rnacentral:snRNA from 1 species
GCGCGCUAACCUAGAACC